rnacentral:rRNA from 1 species
UAGGGAAUCUUCGGCAAUGGACGAAAGUCUGACCGAGCAACGCCGCGUGAGUGAAGAAGGUUUUCGGAUCGUAAAACUCUGUUGUUAGAGAAGAACAAGGACGUUAGUAACUGAACGUCCCCUGACGGUAUCUAACCAGAAAGCCACGGCUAACUACGUGCCAGCAGCCGCGGUAAUACGUAGGUGGCAAGCGUUGUCCGGAUUUAUUGGGCGUAAAGCGAGCGCAGGCGGUUUCUUAAGUCUGAUGUGAAAGCCCCCGGCUCAACCGGGGAGGGUCAUUGGAAACUGGGAGACAUGAGUGCAGAAGAGGAGAGUGGAAUUCCAGGUGUAGCGGUGAAAUGCGUAGAUAUAUGGAGGAACACCGGUGGCGAAGGCGGCUCUCUGGUCUGUAACUGACGCUGAGGCUCGAAAGCGUGGGGAGCAAACAGG